CCCAGACUCCUACGGGAGGCAGCAGUGGGGGAUAUUGCACAAUGGGGGGAACCCUGGUGCAGCGACGCCGCGUGGGUGAAGGAGCGUUUCGGCGCGUAAAGCCCUAUCGGCAGGGAAGAAGGAGGACGGUACCUGACUAAGAAGCCCCGGCUAACUACGUGCCAGCAGCCGCGGUAAUACGUAGGGGGCAAGCGUUAUCCGGAUUUACUGGGUGUAAAGGGGGCGCAGACGGCAGCGCAAGCCAGGAGUGAAAGCCCGGGGCCCAACCCCGGGACUGCUCUUGGAACUGCGCGGCUGGAGUGCAGGAGGGGCAGGCGGAAUUCCUGGUGUAGCGGUGAAAUGCGUAGAUAUCAGGAGGAACACCGGUGGCGAAGGCGGCCUGCUGGACUGCGACUGACGUUGAGGCCCGAGAGCGUGGGGAGCAAACAGGAUUAGAUACCCGGGUAC
rnacentral:rRNA from 1 species